rnacentral:tRNA from 1 species
UGGGUGAAUAGCCAGCGGUAGAGCAUCUCCUUUACACGGAGGCGGUCGGGGUUCGAUCCCCUCUUCACCCAU